GUUUUAGUAGUUUAAAAUAAAACAAUGAUUUUGUAAGUCAUAAAUGAAUUAUUUCCUAAAACC
rnacentral:tRNA from 1 species